rnacentral:rRNA from 1 species
GACGAACGCUGGCGGCGUGCUUAACACAUGCAAGUCGAACGAAGUGGCGAACGGGUGAGUAAUACGUGAGUAACCUGCCCUCCUUUUUGGGAUAAGCCUUGGAAACGGGGUCUAAUACCGGAUAAAGGGGGAUGGGCUCGCGGCCUAUCAGCUUGUUGGUGGGGUGAGGGCCUACCAAGGCGGUGACGGUUAGCCGGCCUGAGAGGGUGAACGGCAACGUUGGGACGGAGAUACGGCCCAGAGGACGACGGGAGGCAGCAGUGGGGGAUAUGGGAGAAUGGGUGAAGGCCCGAUGCAGCGUGGCCGCGUGGGGGAUGAAGGCUUUCGGGUUGUAAACCUCUGUCGCUAUCGAACGGGUAGGUGCAGAAGAAGCGCCGGCUAACUACGUGCCAGCAGCCGCGGUAAUAC